rnacentral:rRNA from 1 species
UACGAGGGGGGCGAGCGUUGUUCGGAAUUAUUGGGCGUAAAGGGUGCGUAGGCGGUUUGGUAAGUCUUGUGUGAAAUCUACAGGCUCAACUUGUAGUCUGCACGAGAAACUGCCGGGCUUGAGUGUGGGAGAGGUGAGUGGAAUUCCUGGUGUAGCGGUGAAAUGCGUAGAUAUCAGGAGGAACACCUGUGGCGAAAGCGGCUCACUGGACCAUAACUGACGCUGAUGCACGAAAGUUAGGGGAGCAAACAGG